rnacentral:rRNA from 1 species
AACGUAGGGGGCGAGCGUUAUCCGGAAUCACUGGGCGUAAAGGGCGUCUAGGCGGUCCAGUAAGUCCUGCGUGAAAGCUCCCGGCUCAACUGGGAGAGCGCGUGGGAGACUGUUGGGCUAGAGACUCGGAGAGGGGUGUGGAAUUCCCGGUGGAGUGGUGAAAUGCGUUGAAAUCGGGAGGAACACCAGUGGCGAAGGCGGCACCCUGGCCGAGUUCUGACGCUGAAGCGCGACAGCGUGGGGAGCAAACGGG